rnacentral:rRNA from 1 species
GUGAAGAUGCGGAUUAUUUGUCGCUAGACGGAAAGACCCCAUACACUUUUACUGUUAACAUAUAUUGUAAAGAGCUUAUUUUUGUGUAGGAUAGGUGGUAGCUGUUUGAAAUCUUUGUUUAAGCAAAUUAUUUAGGCAUCCUUGAAAUACCACCCAUUAAUAAACUGUUUACUCAUUUUUAAGAUUUAAAGACAUUGUAUGCUAGACAGUUUAACUGGGGCGGUUACCUCCUAAA